rnacentral:rRNA from 1 species
GACGACGCUGGGCGGCGUGGAUUAGGCAUGCAAGUCGAACGGUAUCAUCCUUUCGGGGGUGAGAGAGUGGCGAACUGGUGAGUAACACGUAGGUUAUCUACCCUCAAGACGGGGACAACCCAGGGAAACUUGGGCUAAUACCGGAUGUGAGCAACUUUUAGUUGUUUGAAAGGUGGCGUAAGCUGUCGCUUGGGGAUGAGCCUGCGUCCUAUUAGUUAGUUGGUGAGGUAACGGCUCACCUAGGCAAUGAUAGGUAGGCGGCCUUAACGGGUGGUCGCCCACACUGGGAUUGAGAUACGGCCCAGACUCCUACGGGAGGCAGCAGUCGAGAAUAGUCUACAAUGGUCGGAAGACUGAUAGUGCGACGCCGCGUGAACGAUGAAUCCCUUCGGGGUGUAAAGUUCUUUUAUAUGUGAGCAGUGCUUCUUAUAUUAACAGUAUGGGGAGAGAGAUAUUAGCAUAUGAAUAAGCAACGGCUAACUCCGUG